UACGGAGGAUGCAAGCGUUAUCCGGAAUGAUUGGGCGUAAAGAGUCCGUAGGUGGCGAGUCAAGUCGAUUGUCAAAGAGCGAGGCUUAACUUCGUGAAGGCAGUGGAAACUGACUAGCUAGAGAGCAGUAGGGGCAGAAGGAAUUCCUGGUGUAGCGGUGAAAUGCGUAGAGAUCAGGAAGAACACCGGUGGCGAAAGCGUUCUGCUGGGCUGCGACUGACACUGAGGGACGAAAGCUAGGGGAGCGAAU
rnacentral:rRNA from 1 species